rnacentral:rRNA from 1 species
AUUGAACGCUGGCGGCAGGCCUAACACAUGCAAGUCGAGCGGAUGACGGGAGCUUGCUCCUUGAUUCAGCGGCGGACGGGUGAGUAAUGCCUAGGAAUCUGCCUGGUAGUGGGGGACAACGUUUCGAAAGGAACGCUAAUACCGCAUACGUCCUACGGGAGAAAGCAGGGGACCCUCGGGCCUUGCGCUCUCAGAUGAGCCUAGGUCGGAUUAGCUAGUUGGUGGGGUAAUGGCUCACCAAGGCGACGAUCCGUAACUGGUCUGAGAGGAUGAUCAGUCACACUGGAACUGAGACACGGUCCAGACUCCUACGGGAGGCAGCAGUGGGGAAUAUUGGACAAUGGGCGAAAGCCUGAUCCAGCCAUGCCGCGUGUGUGAAGAAGGUCUUCGGAUUGUAAAGCACUUUAAGUUGGGAGGAAGGGCAGUAAGUUAAUACCUUGCUGUUUUGACGUUACCGACAGAAUAAGCACCGGCUAACUCUGUGCCAGCAGCCGCCGUAAUAC